AACGAACGCUGGCGGCAGGCUUAACACAUGCAAGUCGAACGCCCCGCAAGGGGAGUGGCAGACGGGUGAGUAACGCGUGGGAACGUGCCCUUCGCUUCGGAAUAGCCCCGGGAAACUGGGAGUAAUACCGGAUACGCCGUAUUGGGAAAGAUUUAUCGGCGAAGGAUCGGCCCGCGUUGGAUUAGCUAGUUGGCGGUGUAAUGGACCACCAAGGCUACGAUCCAUAGCUGGUCUGAGAGGAUGAUCAGCCACACUGGGACUGAGACACGGCCCAGACUCCUACGGGAGGCAGCAGUGGGGAAUCUUGGACAAUGGGCGCAAGCCUGAUCCAGCCAUGCCGCGUGAGUGAAGAAGGCCUUAGGGUUGUAAAACUCUUUCGCCGGAGAAGAUAAUGACGGUAUCCGGAGAAGAAGCCCCGGCUAACUUCGUGCCAGCCGCCGCCGUAACAC
rnacentral:rRNA from 1 species